rnacentral:misc_RNA from 1 species
AAAAAAUAUUCACAGGUUCCCUACAAGAUUAAAUAAUCCAAAUAUGAAUUGAUUGAUACCUACUUAAAGUAUUUGUUUAUUGAAUAAAGUUUUAUAAUCCCCUGAAGCUCAUCUAGUGGAGCAAAUGAAAACCCACUUUUCCUUAUUACUAUUAAUUAGUUAAUUAAUUAUUAUAAGCAUAGAUUAGGAAGAACAUUAAAAACAAUACAAAUCUCACAAUCAAGAAUCCAACCAUUAUCUUCCUCAAUUUGGUUCCUAUAUUCUCUGCUUUAAUUCAUACAACUUCUUUUGUUUAAAAUUAAAAUUAAAGCUAAACUCAACCUAUCAUUCAAAAUUUUAUAAAUUACUAUAAAACACGAAAUAAAUAAAUUAGUAUACCCAAAAAAAAUGUCGAUAUCGGUAAUAAAUAAACUUA